CCAGACUCCUACGGGAGGCAGCAGUGAGGAAUAUUGGUCAAUGGGCGGAAGCCUGAACCAGCCAAGUCGCGUGAGGGAAGAAGGCCCUGCGGGUCGCAGACCUCUUUGGACGGGGAGCAAGGCCGCCGACGUGUCGGCGGAAGGAGAGUACCCGUAGAACAAGCAUCGGCUAACUCCGUGCCAGCAGCCGCGGUAAUACGUAGGGGGCAAGCGUUAUCCGGAUUUACUGGGUGUAAAGGGAGCGUAGACGGUGCAGCAAGUCUGGAGUGAAAGGCAGGGGCCCAACCCCUGGACUGCUCUGGAAACUGUCGUACUUGAGUGCAGGAGAGGUAAGUGGAAUUCCUAGUGUAGCGGUGAAGUGCGUAGAUAUUAGGAGGAACACCAGUGGCGAAGGCGGCUUACUGGACUGUAACUGACGUUGAGGCUCGAAAGCGUGGGGAGCAAACAGGAUUAGAUACCCUAGUACA
rnacentral:rRNA from 1 species